GGCGAACGGGUGCGUAACACGUGAGCAACCUGCCCCGAAGACCGGGACAAGCCGGGGAAACCUGGUCUAAUACCGGAUGUCCUCGGCCGAUCGCAUGGUCGGGCGAGGAAAUGGAUUCCGCUUCGGGAUGGGCUCGCGGUCUAUCAGCUUGUUGGUGGGGUAAUGGCCUACCAAGGCGACGACGGAUAGCUGGUCUGAGAGGACGAUCAGCCACACUGGGACUGAGACACGGCCCAGAACUCAUAGGGGAGGCAGCAGUGGGUAAUCUUGCGCAAUGGGUGGAAACCCUGACAGCAGUCGACAGCCGCGUGCGGGAUGCACAGGCCUUCGGGUUGUAAACCGCUUUCAGCAGGGACGAACAUUGACGGUACCUGCAGAUAGAAGGCCCGGCCAACUACGUGCCAGCCGCCGCGG
rnacentral:rRNA from 1 species